CUUUCCUUCUCUGCACAAACAAAACCGCAAACCAUUUCUUUCUUGAUACCGAGAUACCACUCUUCACCAAAUCUCAUUUCCUCUGCACAACUCAACCUCCUCCACCCACGAAUCAUCUUCACUUCACCCCACCUCGUGACCAUCGAAGGAAAGGAGAGUGAGAGGGACGUAGCUUCGGUAUCAUCGACAAGAAAAGAAAAGGAGGAAAACCGCGAGCUGAAGUAUUUUUCUGGUUUGUCCGUGAUUUGAUGGAGAGAUCUGAGAGCCAAACUUCAUCCAAUCCAGCCGCAAGUUUGAGCAAAGGGGAGGAAGAUUUGCGGGCUGCAAUUUCUGGAUAGCCGAGAGGAAGAAAAUUUUGCAGCUGAUUGUCGUGUGAGCUAAACCUUAAGCUGAGGGUAUUGCGAGGACGCGGAAUUCGAUUCCAACUUGAUAUCUGACCUCCACUCUUGGUCCUGGAAACUGAAAGCUGGAUGCUUACUUAUGUUUUCCUUAUGGAUUGUAUUUGACUACUAUAACUUAUUCUGUGGGCUGUAAUGUGUUAUUUGGGAUAAUGUACUUUUCUUUUUGGAUUGCCACUUGAAGCUGGAAAAUGUGUAAACCCUAAUUCGAUUACUUGGUUUGUAAGUUUGUAUUUGGGAUUUAUGUAUGUAUCUAUCCGGAUUGGUGCGACUUUAUACUUUGGUACGUAGCACGUAGGACGUUUAAGAGCAUCGACUGGUUAUUUUAUCA